GACGAACGCUGGCGGCGCGCCUAAUACAUGCAAGUCGAACGGGCACACAAUUGUGUGUCAGUGGCGGACGGGUGAGUAACACGUGAGUGACCUGCCCCCUAGUAUGGAAUAACUCUGGGAAACCAGAGCUAAUACCACAUGUGCUUAGUGUUUCACUCUGCUAAGUAAAGAUUUAUUCGCUAGGGGAGGGGCUUGCGGCGGAUUAGCUAGUCGGUGGGGUAACGGCCUACCGAGGCGACGAUCCGUAGCUGGUCUGAGAGGAUGAUCAGCCACACUGGGACUGAGAUACGGCCCAGACUCCUACGGGAGGCAGCAGUGGGGAAUAUUGGACAAUGGGGGCAACCCUGAUCCAGCAAUGCCGCGUGAGUGAUGAAGGCCUUCGGGUUGUAAAGCUCUUUUGCCAGGGACGAUGAUGACGGUACCUGGAGAAUAAGCACCGGCUAACUUCGUGCCAGCAGCCGCCGUAA
rnacentral:rRNA from 1 species